GGCCUGCUAGCUCAGUCGGUUAGAGCGUCGUGCUAAUAACGCGAAGGUCAUAGGUUCGGUCCCUGCGCAGGCCA
rnacentral:tRNA from 1 species